AGAGUUUGAUCCUGGCUCAGGACGAACGCUGGCGGCGCGCUUAACACAUGCAAGUCGAGCGAGAAAGUCUCUUCGGAGAUGAGUACAGCGGCGAACGGGUGAGUAACACGUGGGUAACCUGCCCUGGGGAGCGGGACAACCCGAGGAAACUCGGGCUAAUACCGCAUGACUCGUGUGAUCUUAAGGUCAUACGGCAAAAGGUAGCUUCGGCCUCCGCCCUGGGAUGGGCCCGCGGCGCAUUAGCUUGUUGGUGGGGUAACGGCCUACCAAGGCGACGAUGCGUAGCUGGUCUGAGAGGACGAUCAGCCACACUGGGACUGAGACACGGCCCAGACUCCUACGGGAGGCAGCAGUGGGGAAUCUUGCGCAAUGGGCGAAAGCCUGACGCAGCGACGCCGCGUGAGGGAAGAAGGCUCUCGGGUUGUAAACCUCUUUCAGCGGGGACGAGGCCGACAAGGUUAAUAGCCUUGAGCGGUGACGGUACUCGCAGAAGAAGCCCCGGCUAACUACGUGCCAGCAGCCGCGGUAAUACGUAGGGGGCAAGCGUUGUCCGGAAUCAUUGGGCGUAAAGCGCGUGUAGGCGGCACGGUCAGUCCGGUGUGAAACCUUGGGGCUCAACCCCAAGCCUGCACUGGAUACUGCCGCGCUAGAGUCCGGGAGAGGGAAGCGGAAUUCCUAGUGUAGCGGUGAAAUGCGCAGAUAUUAGGAAGAACACCGGUGGCGAAGGCGGCUUCCUGGAACGGUACUGACGCUAAGACGCGAAAGCGUGGGGAGCGAACAGGAUUAGAUACCCUGGUAGUCC
rnacentral:rRNA from 1 species